rnacentral:rRNA from 1 species
UACAGAGGGUGCGAGCGUUGUUCGGAAUUACUGGGCGUAAAGCGCGCGCAGGCGGCCUUUUAAGUCUGACGGUGAAAUGCCGGGGCUCAACCCCGUGCCCGCCGGAGAUACUGGGAGGCUGGAGACGAGUAGAGGCAAGCGGAAUUCCGGGUGUAGCGGUGGAAUGCGUAGAGAUCGGGAAGAACAUCAGUGGCGAAGGCGGCCUGCUGGGCUGUUGCUGACGCUGAGGCGCGACAGCGUGGGGAGCAAACAGG